rnacentral:rRNA from 1 species
GACGAACGCUGGCGGCGUGCUUAACACAUGCAAGUCGAACGGACCACAUACCUUCGGGUCUGUGGUUAGUGGCGAACGGGUGAGUAACACGUGAGCAACCUACCCUUGACACCGGGAUAACAGCUGGAAACAGCUGCUAAUACCGGAUACGACCUCUGACGGCAUCAUCUGGAGGUGGAAAGCUCCGACGGUCAAGGAUGGGCUCGCGGCCUAUCAGCUUGUUGGUGAGGUAACGGCUCACCAAGGCUUCGACGGGUAGCCGGCCUGAGAGGGCGACCGGCCACACUGGGACUGAGAUACGGCCCAGACUCCUACGGGAGGCAGCAGUGGGGAAUAUUGCACAAUGGGCGAAAGCCUGAUGCAGCAACGCCGCGUGCGGGAUGACGGCCUUCGGGUUGUAAACCGCUUUCAGUUCCGACGAAGGUAACCUGACGGUAGGAACAGAAGAAGGACCGGCCAACUACGUGCCAGCCGCCGCA